rnacentral:rRNA from 1 species
GACGAACGCUGGCGGCGUGCCUAAUACAUGCAAGUUGAGCGCUGAAGGUUGGUACUUGUACCAACUGGAUGAGCAGCGAACGGGUGAGUAACGCGUGGGGAAUCUGCCUUUGAGCAGGGGACAACAUUUGGAAACGAAUGCUAAUACCGCAUAAAAACUUUAAACACAAGUUUUAAGUUUGAAAGAUGCAAUUGCAUCACUCAAAGAUGAUCCCGCGUUGUAUUAGCUAGUUGGUGAGGUAAAGGCUCACCAAGGCGAUGAUACAUAGCCGACCUGAGAGGGUGAUCGGCCACAUUGGGACUGAGACACGGCCCAAACUCCUACGGGAGGCAGCAGUAGGGAAUCUUCGGCAAUAGACGAAAGUCUGACCGAGCAACGCCGCGUGAGUGAAGAAGGGUUUCGGAUCGUAAAACUCUGUUGGUAGAGAAGAACGUUGGUGAGAGUGGAAAGCUCACCAAGUGACGGUAACUACACAGAAAGGGACGGCUAACUACGUG